rnacentral:rRNA from 1 species
UACAGAGGUCCCGAGCGUUGUUCGGAUUCACUGGGCGUAAAGGGUGCGUAGGUGGUGGGAUAAGUCGGAUGUGAAAUCUCGGAGCUCAACUCCGAAACUGCAUUGGAAACUGUCCUGCUAGAGGGUUUGGAGGGGGGGACUGGAAUACUUGGUGUAGCAGUGAAAUGCGUAGAUAUCAAGUGGAACACCGGUGGCGAAGGCGAGUCCCUGGACAACACCUGACACUGAGGCACGAAAGCUAGGGGAGCAAACAGG